AUGUCGAGGCUAGCGAGGACGCCGACGCACUUCUCGUCGUCGUGCAGCACCUCGCAGAGCGCGUCGGCGGCCUCCCUCCGCAUCUCGCCGUCGUCGAUCUGGGGGUCGAGAGGAGGUCGGCAGGGCGAUGAGGGAGAGGAGAAGGCCCGGCGGCUGGCUCGCGGCCGCUGCUCGCCCGCCGCUGCCGCUCUGCUCCGCCGACCGCGUGCUUGCGUACCGCCGUCGGCGCUUCGCUCCGCCGACCGCCCGCUCGCUGCAGCGCUCACCCGCUGCGCAUACGUGCCCGCUGCCGCUCCGCUCCACUGCGCGCCUGACACUCACCGACGCCCCGACCCCUCUGUCCUCGGCGAGCUCGUGUACAACGUCCCCGGCGCCAAGAACGUCCUCGAGAAGUCGAGAUGCCCCUUCUCGCAGCUCAGGCACUUCUUGUUGAUGGCGAUGGAUCACUUGACUAAGUUCAAGUGCGGCGGGUUCGUGCUGGGUCUCGCCAUCAACCACUGCAUGUUCGACGGCGUCGGCGCCAUACAGUUCGUCAACUCGUGCGAGGGGUGUGCCGCUCUCCGCAGUUCAAGUGCGGCGGGUUCGUGCUGGGUCUCGCCAUCAACCACUGCAUGUUCGACGGCGUCGGCGCCAUACAGUUCGUCAACUCGUGCGAGGGGUGUGCCGCUCUCCGCAGGUCGCUUUCCCGCACCACGAGUUCGGCAGAUCGACGGCGGCGAUAACGGCGGCUCGCCGACGCAGGACGGCGCCGAGCCGCUCCUGCACAGGUCGUUCUGGUUCACGCCCGAGUCCAUCGCCCGCGUCAAGGCGCUCGUCGCGGUCGACGGCGGCGGCGGCGGGCGCGCGCCCACGACGUUCGAGGCGCUGGGGAUGGGGCACGCGCGGCAGAGCAAGCUCCUCUUCGCC
rnacentral:lncRNA from 1 species